CCUACGGGAGGCAGCAGUGAGGAAUAUUGGUCAAUGGCCGGAAGGCUGAACCAGCCAUGCCGCGUGAAGGUCAGUGCCCUAUGGGCGUUAAACUUCUUUUGUGCGGGAGCAAUAAUGGUCACGUGUGGCCAGACGAGAGUACCGUACGAAUAAGCAUCGGCUAACUCCGUGCCAGCAGCCGCGGUAAUACGGGGGAUGCAAGAGUUAUCCGGCUUUAUUGGGUUUAAAGGGUGCGUAGGCUGGGAGGUAAGUCAGCGGGGAAAUGCCCCCGCUCAACGGGGUGAAGUGCCAUUGUUACUGCCUUGCUGGAAUGCGGAUGCCGUGGGAGGAAUGUGUGGUGUAGCGGUGAAAUGCAUAGAUAUCACACAGAACACCGAUUGCGAAGGCAUCUCACGAAUCCGCGAUUGACGCUGAUGCACGAAAGCGUGGGUAUCAAACAGGAUUAGAUACCCUUGUAGUC
rnacentral:rRNA from 1 species